rnacentral:rRNA from 1 species
UACGUAGGGUGCAAGCGUUGCCCGGAUUUAUUGGGCGUAAAGGGCACGUAGGCGGCCGAGCAAGUCAUGCGUGAAAUCUCCCGGCUCAACUGGGAGGGGUCGUGUGAUACUGCUUGGCUUGAGCAAGGUAGGGGGCAGUGGAAUUCCCGGUGUAGUGGUGGAAUGCGUAGAUAUUCGGAAGAACACCAGUGGCGAAGGCGGCUCACUGGACUGGUAUUGACGCUGAGGUGCGAAAGCGUGGGGAGCAAACAGG